GACUUGUGGAUAAUUAUCCAUCUGACCAGGAUUUGGAAGAAGAUUUGGCGGCAGAACAUGAUCAUCUAUCGACUGGAGUCCAAGAUAAGGGAAUUACUGGAGAUGACGCAUCUGAGAAUGCUGAGGAACUGUCAAAGGAAGAGUUGGGUCAACUUGUUGCUUC